UUGGGAUAAAGGCUUAGUUGAGUCGAGUUGACUAUUAGUGAAGAUGGGACCACAGAGAGGCAGCAGCAGUGAUAGAACCACCCUCAUAAAGGGAUAAUGUAGUGGAACAGCGAAGUUUACAUGUAUACGCCUUUAUUGUACAACCAAUAAGAAGUGCGCAUUAUUUCCCCACUGAGUACAAAGUAAAGCAUAGCAUGAGCAAUUACAGUGCCCACAACAGCAGAUUAUCUACUGAGAAAGUUGAUUUAGGGCUUGUUUGACAUGGUUGUUAAAAUUGCUAUUGAGAAAAUUACUUUUUUAAAAAUACUAGUUAAAGAGCAUUAAAAAAUAAUUUAAAAUUAAA
rnacentral:misc_RNA from 1 species